GGGAAUUUUCCGCAAUGGGCGAAAGCCUGACGGAGCAAUGUCGCGUGGAGGUGGAAGGCCUACGGGUCGUCAACUUCUUUUCUCGGAGAAGAAACAAUGACGGUAUCUGAGGAAUAAGCAUCGGCUAACUCUGUGCCAG
rnacentral:rRNA from 1 species